UGGGGAAUAUUGCACAAUGGAGGGAACUCUGAUGCAGCGACGCCGCGUGAACGAAGAAGGCUUUCGAGUCGUAAAGUUCUUUUAUAUGGGAAGAUAAUGACGGUACCAUAAGAAAAAGCCCCGGCUAACUACGUGCCAGCAGCCGCGGUAAUACGUAGGGGGCUAGCGUUGUCCGGAAUCACUGGGCGUAAAGGGUUCGCAGGCGGAAAUGCAAGUCAGGUGUAAAAGGCAGUAGCUUAACUACUGUAAGCAUUUGAAACUGCAUAUCUUGAGAAGAGUAGAGGUAAGUGGAAUUUUUAGUGUAGCGGUGAAAUGCGUAGAUAUUAAAAAGAAUACCGGUGGCGAAGGCGACUUACUGGGCUCAUUCUGACGCUGAGGAACGAAAGCGUGGGUAGCAAACAGGAUUAGAUACCCUGGUAGUCCACGCUGUAAACGAUGAGUGCUAGGUAUCGGAAUAAUUCGGUGCCGCAGUUAACACAUUAAGCACUCCGCCUGGGGAGUACGCGCGCAAGCAU
rnacentral:rRNA from 1 species